CAGGAAGUGAAGAAGAGAGGAGCCAGAGAGAAUGAUGAGGUGGAUGUUUGUUUAGUAAAUUUUAGCAGCUCCCAGGAAGAUUCUGCUAUCAUGAUAUUCCCUAUCUCUGCGCCUGAAGUUUCCAACACGCUUACUAUGGAUAUUGAAAAGAGAUACAUCCCAUGAUGUCAAGCAAUAUAUUCUCUCAGCAUGAACUGCAUACCCUGUUGCUAAAGGACAUUGCUAAUAACAUUCUUCAUCCAUGAUCCUCCUAAUGCCCUACCCAGCCCUGCCAGUAGAAUCUUGUCUCUGGGACCACAUCCAUACAGGAGCAAAGAGAGCUUAUCCACACACCCCACCUCUUUGUUCAGGUGCCUGGAGACAAAUAGGUGCAGCACCUGCCACGUCAAUGGAAUGAUGAAACAUAUGUUCUGAAGCCUCAGAUAUCUGAAGACCCACAGAAAUAACAGCAGUGAAGCAAGCAAUCAACUGAUGUAGAUGCAUGUGUGUGAGCACGAGCUAUCACUGACAGAAAGGAAGAGAAGCAUAUUUCCUGGCCUAAGCUGCUCACCCAGUCCAGGCCUUGCAGCCAUGCAGCGGAUCACCCUUUGUAAAGAUGUGGCCUGGCAACCACUUCUGCACUCAUUGUGCAGCCCCUGCUUCAACAGCUACAGCUACCGAAGACCCCCGAAGUCCAUGGCCCUAUCAAAUGGUUCACCAUGAGAAAGACAGCUGGCCCAGUAGAUAGAGCUCUGGGC